ACUCCUACGGGAGGCAGCAGUGGGGAAUAUUGCACAAUGGUAGGGCAACCUGAUGCAGCCAUGCCGCGUGAUGUAGCAAGAAGGGCCUUCGGGUUGAUAAAGCACUUUCAGUAGGGAGGAAGGUAGUGUAGUUAACACCUGCAUUAUUUGACGUUACCUACAGAAGAAGCACCGGCUAACUCCGUGCCAGCAGCCGCGGUAAUACGGAGGGUGCGAGCGUUAAUCGGAAUUACUGGGCGUAAAGCGCAUGCAGGCGGCCUGUUAAGUCAGAUGUGAAAGCCCGGGGCUUAACCUCGGAAUUGCAUUUGAAACUGGCAGGCUAGAGUCUUGUAGAGGGGGGUAGAAUUUCAGGUGUAGCGGUGAAAUGCGUAGAGAUCUGAAGGAAUACCAGUGGCGAAGGCGGCCCCCCUGGACAAAGACUGACGCUCAGAUGCGAAAGCGUGGGGAGCAAACAGGAUUAGAUACCCUGGUAGGAUAG
rnacentral:rRNA from 1 species